UUUAUAAACUGAAACAUUACCUUUAGUUUUUGAUAUUCUUCAUAGUCGAGUUUAAAUUGGCCUAAUUUAUAGUUAGUUACCACUAGAAAUGCGACGAUAUUUUGUUAAAUCAUAUAUGCCACAGUGUUUACAACUUUUGAAUAAUAUGUGAUUUGGUUUUGUUUCAGAUCCUGUUACAUGUUGCUUCAUUUUACCAUAAAUUGUGUUAAAAAAGUGAUUUGCUCAUUUGGCUGAUGUUACAGUUUUCUGAUGUGUUUUGUUUGGAUGAUAUUAGAACAAUUUCAAUAUGAAAGUGCAGGUGUCUUUUAGACAUGAGCCAUAAUGUAUAUAUCAAAAUACUGAUAAAAUCCGUUUCCAGCUUGAUUGUAUUUGCAUUUGUUGUAUUUGCAUUGUUGCAGACAAAGUUGUGCAAUGGUGGGCUUAUGUCACAUACUCGUAUGUAAUUCCAUGUGCCUGCAUGUACAGCACUUUGAUGCCUCAAGAGAUGCUUCGAAUGUGUAAUAAAGGGCUGUUCGCAGGAGUUGGGCUGCCUGGCCUUAAAUUGCAUUGUUUUUAUGAUAUUUUAAGAUUGUAUUCGUAUGGCUGGACCAUCUUGCCAUUGCCACAAUGUCUGAUGUUCAAACAGGCUUUAAAAUCAGGUUACAAUGCAUGCUUGAAAAUAUGCAACAAUUUCACUGCUAAUAAUAUUCCAGAAAAUCCUGCCUCUUGGGCAGAUCUGGACUGAUUUGUCAGAGGGUGUUGGAGGUUUUUUACUUGUGAUCGGGCAAGGGGAGCUAGCCAAGGGUGCUGGGUCAGAGUCAAACUCAUGUGAACAGCUUCUAAGUCCUAAUUAUAUUGAUAAAUUAUGUACACUUUGGGAUGGUAAUGCAAUUUGUAAAAUAUUCC